CAGAAAAUAGUUUAGGAAGAAUGAUAGCUUUGGGAGUUGUUGGUGUGAGUUCUGUAGUCUCACUUUUCUGA
rnacentral:tRNA from 1 species